rnacentral:rRNA from 2 species
GGGUUGUGAGGUUAAGCGACUAAGCGUACACGGUGGAUGCCCUGGCAGUCAGAGGCGAUGAAGGACGUGCUAAUCUGCGAAAAGCGCCGGCGAGGUGAUAUGAACCCUUGACCCGGCGAUGUCCGAAUGGGGAAACCCAGUGCAAUCCGUUGCACUAUCGUUAACUGAAUACAUAGGUUAACGAGGCGAACCGGGGGAACUGAAACAUCUAAGUACCCCGAGGAAAAGAAAUCAACCGAGAUUCCCCCAGUAGCGGCGAGCGAACGGGGAGCAGCCCGGAGUCUGAAUCAGCUUGUGUGUUAGUGGAACGGUCUGGAAAGUCCGACGGUACAGGGUGAUAGUCCCGUACACGAAAGCACACAUGCUGUGAACUCGAAGAGUAGGGCGGGACACGUGGUAUCCUGUCUGAAUAUGGGGGACCAUCCUCCAAGGCUAAAUACUCCUGACUGACCGAUAGUGAACCAGUACCGUGAGGGAAAGGCGAAAAGAACCCCGGCGAGGGGAGUGAAAAAGAACCUGAAACCGUGUACGUACAAGCAGUGGGAGCCUCUUUAUGGGGUGACUGCGUACCUUUUGUAUAAUGGGUCAGCGACUUAUAUUCUGUAGCAAGGUUAACCGUAUAGGGGAGCCGAAGGGAAACCGAGUCUUAACUGGGCGUUAAGUUGCAGGGUAUAGACCCGAAACCCGGUGAUCUAGCCAUGGGCAGGUUGAAGGUUGGGUAACACUAACUGGAGGACCGAACCGACUAAUGUUGAAAAAUUAGCGGAUGACCUGUGGCUGGGGGUGAAAGGCCAAUCAAACCGGGAGAUAGCUGGUUCUCCCCGAAAGCUAUUUAGGUAGCGCCUCGUGAAUUCAUCUUCGGGGGUAGAGCACUGUUUCGGCUAGGGGGCCAUCCCGGCUUACCAACCCGAUGCAAACUACGAAUACCGAAGAAUGUUAUCACGGGAGACACACGGCGGGUGCUAACGUCCGUCGUGAAGAGGGAAACAACCCAGACCGCCAGCUAAGGUCCCAAAGUCAUGGUUAAGUGGGAAACGAUGUGGGAAGGCACAGACAGCCAGGAUGUUGGCUUAGAAGCAGCCAUCAUUUAAAGAAAGCGUAAUAGCUCACUGGUCGAGUCGGCCUGCGCGGAAGAUGUAACGGGGCUAAACCAUGCACCGAAGCUGCGGCAGCGACGCUUAUGCGUUGUUGGGUAGGGGAGCGUUCUGUAAGCCGUUGAAGGUGUGCUGUGAGGCAUGCUGGAGGUAUCAGAAGUGCGAAUGCUGACAUAAGUAACGAUAAAGCGGGUGAAAAGCCCGCUCGCCGGAAGACCAAGGGUUCCUGUCCAACGUUAAUCGGGGCAGGGUGAGUCGACCCCUAAGGCGAGGCCGAAAGGCGUAGUCGAUGGGAAACAGGUUAAUAUUCCUGUACUUGGUGUUACUGCGAAGGGGGGACGGAGAAGGCUAUGUCAGCCGGGCGACGGUUGUCCCGGUUUAAGCAUGUAGGCGGAGGUUCCAGGUAAAUCCGGUACCUUAUUAACGCUGAGGUGUGAUGACGAGGCACUACGGUGCUGAAGUGAUAAAUGCCCUGCUUCCAGGAAAAGCCUCUAAGCAUCAGGUAACACGAAAUCGUACCCCAAACCGACACAGGUGGUCAGGUAGAGAAUACCAAGGCGCUUGAGAGAACUCGGGUGAAGGAACUAGGCAAAAUGGUGCCGUAACUUCGGGAGAAGGCACGCUGAUGUGUAGGUGAAGUCCCUGCGGACGGAGCUGAAAUCAGUCGAAGAUACCAGCUGGCUGCAACUGUUUAUUAAAAACACAGCACUGUGCAAACACGAAAGUGGACGUAUACGGUGUGACGCCUGCCCGGUGCCGGAAGGUUAAUUGAUGGGGUUAGCGGCAACGCGAAGCUCUUGAUCGAAGCCCCGGUAAACGGCGGCCGUAACUAUAACGGUCCUAAGGUAGCGAAAUUCCUUGUCGGGUAAGUUCCGACCUGCACGAAUGGCGUAAUGAUGGCCAGGCUGUCUCCACCCGAGACUCAGUGAAAUUGAACUCGCUGUGAAGAUGCAGUGUACCCGCGGCAAGACGGAAAGACCCCGUGAACCUUUACUAUAGCUUGACACUGAACACUGGUCCUUGAUGUGUAGGAUAGGUGGGAGGCUUUGAAGCGUGGACGCCAGUCUGCGUGGAGCCAACCUUGAAAUACCACCCUUUAAUGGCUGGUGUUCUAACGUAGACCCGUAAUCCGGGUUGCGGACAGUGUCUGGUGGGUAGUUUGACUGGGGCGGUCUCCUCCCAAAGAGUAACGGAGGAGCACGAAGGUUGGCUAAUCCUGGUCGGACAUCAGGAGGUUAGUGCAAUGGCAUAAGCCAGCUUGACUGCGAGCGUGACGGCGCGAGCAGGUGCGAAAGCAGGUCAUAGUGAUCCGGUGGUUCUGAAUGGAAGGGCCAUCGCUCAACGGAUAAAAGGUACUCCGGGGAUAACAGGCUGAUACCGCCCAAGAGUUCAUAUCGACGGCGGUGUUUGGCACCUCGAUGUCGGCUCAUCACAUCCUGGGGCUGAAGUAGGUCCCAAGGGUAUGGCUGUUCGCCAUUUAAAGUGGUACGCGAGCUGGGUUUAGAACGUCGUGAGACAGUUCGGUCCCUAUCUGCCGUGGGCGCUGGAGAAUUGAGGGGGGCUGCUCCUAGUACGAGAGGACCGGAGUGGACGCAUCACUGGUGUUCGGGUUGUCAUGCCAAUGGCACUGCCCGGUAGCUAAAUGCGGAAGAGAUAAGUGCUGAAAGCAUCUAAGCACGAAACUUGCCCCGAGAUGAGUUCUCCCUGAGACUUUAAGUCUCCUGAAGGAACGUUGAAGACGACGACGUUGAUAGGUCGGGUGUGUAAGCGCAGCGAUGCGUUGAGCUAACCGAUACUAAUGAACCGUGAGGCUUAACCUUACAACGCCGAAGGUGUUU